GUGCUUACUUCAGUAGCACAUACACUAAAAUUGGAAUGAUACAGAGGAGAUUAGCAUGGCUUUUGCUCAAGGAUGAAGCACAGAUUUGUGAAGCAUUCUAUAUAUUU